rnacentral:lncRNA from 1 species
UGUCUCUAUGUCAGUGUCUGGAUCCUCCUGAGCUGGCUCUCUGACAUUGAUCCUGACACGCUACCCUCCUAGCAUAAUAGUGCCUAGAGGUGAUCCAUGUCGAGCCUCGGCCUCAAGAACUGCACGCCUCUGACAUGGCGUGAGAUCGGCCCCAAUCCUCAAAGCACCUGACCGUCCUCCCCUCUCAGCUGCCUCUGCUGCUGCUGCAACUGCCUCUGCCACCUCUGCCUCUCUGUCGCUGGCCUUGCGCUUCUUGGUGGCCAACUUCUUGCCCUUGCCCUUCUCUGCCGCUGACAGGCGACGGGGAGGAUCACCUCCACCAUCACCUCCUGGGGAACCUCCAGCGCUGGCUGCUGAACCACUGACGUUCUUGCAACGUGCCAUCACAAGAACGACUGCCUGAAUGAACUGCCGAUAAGGAGCCAACUGACAAUGGAGAUCAAUAGUUGCUCUGCCAUGACUAGUUCUCAAAAUUGAAAUCUCUCUCAAGUUUAGGCAUGACUGUUAUUAAUUAAGAUUUGCUCUAAACCUAAACUUGUGGGAAGAGUACUUGAUCUGAAGUCUAAGUCGUUAACGGAUAUGAUAUGGGAAGGUUGAGCUGUUGUUUAUCUGUUCCUAGAGAUGCUAGAAUUCUGAAGAAUUUUAUCUUUGAAAAUCUUUAAAAUGUUGCAAGAUGAGUUCCUGUAUGAUGAGAGUUUAAAUUCCUACCACAGCCAUAUAUACAUGCUUGUUAGACUAUGAACCACACAUUUACUUUUUACUGCUUAUGAGCAUUGAGUGUGGUCAAGCUGUGUAGACCCUUAGGAGCUUGUCAUGUGGUUAAAAUCAAGAUUCACUUGCACGUUCACUCACACAUGCUACUUCUACUCUGGAAGUACCAUCCACAUAUAUCCACCCAUUUCCAUCUCCAGAACCACCCAAAAAUAUUCUACUCCUAAUCCGGGAGAGAAUAACCAAAAAUAUUUCUGCUUUUCCCCUGUGAAAUAAAUGCUCAAGUUGUCUUGUUACUACCACUUGCUAUAUUAUCUCAUGAGAUGAGUGCUCUAAAAAAAAGAAAAAAAAGAAGAAAAGAAAAAAAAGUAUACGAGGAAAUAAAAAGGGGCAAGUGCCCGAAACCUCGAAAGAAAGAAAAAGUGAGACGAGAGGUAAAAAUGGACAAGUGUCUGACAGUAGAAUUAGGGGUACAAGAUACCCACCUGAGAGAAAAGAAAAAUAAAAUAUAGAGCAUCUCAUUCUCCUCAAAAAGUUUCAAAAGAGCAAGAAAGGUAUGUAUCCCCUCAAAAGAGCAUAAGUAGAAUUAGACUUUCACCAUUGUGGGGCAAGUGCCCGGAACCUCGAAGAAAAAGAAAAAAGUGAGACGAGAGGUAAAAAUGGACAAGUGUCCGACAAUAGAAUUAGGGGUACAAGAUACCCACCUGAGAGGAAAGAAAAAGAAAAUAUAGAGCAUCUCAUUCUCCCCAAAAAGCUUCAAAAUGCAAGAAAGGUAUGUAUCCCCUCAAAAGAGCAAAAGUAGAAUUAGACUUUCACCAUUAUUAUCACCAUCAUCACCAUACACCAUUCAUUCGCCACACAUGCACAUCUUGAUUUGACUUAUUGACUUGUUCCUCUGGAUCCAUGGUUUGACUAUGCAAUAAAUGUCUUGUAAGUAUGUAUUAGCUGUCUCCCACCUAUGAGCUCCACAUAUCAAACCUUAUUAGAGUAGGGUGAGAGAGAAGGUAAUAUCACUAUGCAUUAUACCAAAAAUACCACAUACUUUGAGAGAAGACAUAUACCAUUACUGCCUUGGUAAGGAUCCAGAAAUACCACAAAAGAGAGAUUUGAGGGAGUCAUAUAAGGAAUCUCUGAGUUUUAUUUGAAAAUCUGCAAAAACUCUAGAGCUAUAGCUCAUCAAAGAACAAGAGACAUGGCGCUUGACUUGACCGUUCUAUCUUUUAACUGCUCAAGACACAAGUGACGGUUACAAGCCCC